CUUAUCACAAAGGGGUGCCUUCACUGGCUGAGACUGAAUGAAAAUUCUAACCCUUCGAACCUGACUUCGUUAACACGAGCGUAGGGAUUGUGUGAGUAAAGAAC
rfam:Jeotgalibaca sp. PTS2502, complete genome.